GAUAAACGCUGGCAGCGUGCCUUUAUGCAUGCAAGUCGAACGGUCCCGAUUUAUCGGGAUAGUGGCGAACGGGUGAGUAGCGCGUAAGUAACCUACCCUCAAGUAGGGGAUAACCCUGAGAAAUUAGAGUUAAUACCCUAUGUGGUGGUGAAACUAAUGCUUGAUCACUAAAGCCUUAGGGUGCUUGGGGAGGGGCUUGCGUCCGAUUAGUUAGUUGGUAGGGGUAAUGGCUUACCAAGGCGAUGAUCGGUAGCUGGUUUGAGAGGACGGUCAGCCACACUGGGAUUGAGAUACGGCCCAGACUCCUACGGGAGGCAGCAGCAAGGAAUAUUGUGCAAUGGGCGAAAGCCUGACACAGCGACGCUGCGUGGGGGAUGAAGGCCUUUGGGUUGUAAACCCCUUUUCUCAGGGAAGAAUAAUGACGGUACCUGAGGAAUAAGUCACGGCUAACUACGUG
rnacentral:rRNA from 1 species